UUUUAUGCUGUUCCCGUAACACCCAGCACCAGUCCCCAAGGAUGAGUGCUGAAGAUCCAUAGCCAUGGCAGGGCAGGGCCUAGGUACUGAAGGAAGAUCCCACUCAGAGUUCAGUUCCACCCACUGCAAAACGCCCUCCGAGGACCCUCACUAGACCAGUUCCUCCAAGUGCGGUCCGCAGGCUGCCAUCAGCGGGAUCACGGGCCUUGUAUGACCUCUGAAAAUAUGACCUGAAGCAGAUGGAUGCACUCACAUAAGAAACAUCACCUGUGGCCUUCAUCGAAAAUGGGCCUGCUGCUUGAAGAAGUUGGGCUCUUGGAGUUCUCUAGCACAGGGGCCAUGAAAAUCAAUGACUUCCUUGUUUGCUGACGGAGCAGAGGUAGAAUCUCUUGGUGUUUCCACGGAGAAAACACUGACCAUGAAGAGCCAAGAAAGAUGACAUGAUGAAGCCAUCAGGGGAAGCACCAAACAUCCUCAACUCUGCUCACCCAUGGUUUUCUCCCGCCCUCCCAGAGCUCCUCCUGCGUGAUGAUGGGCCCCCGACAUGAAACUGGCACUCAGAAUGAAGAAUGCCUUUUCCAGCCUCCCUCGCUGGUGGAGUCUCCGUGUUCCAGCCAAUGAAAGGAGGAAGCCUGGACAGCCUGCAGUUGAGGGGACCUGCACAAGCUCACAGGACUCUUCAUCACCAUGACACCACGCUCACCGC
rnacentral:lncRNA from 1 species